rnacentral:ncRNA from 2 species
CCGCAUCAUCAAGAGAAGGGCUGGCGCCCUCGCCAACCUGCCGACCGGGCAAGGUGGUCCCCGCAAGGGAUGUGAUCAGGAUGGUUCCUGAUAACCAAGCGGCUUUCU